rnacentral:rRNA from 1 species
AGUGAACGCUGGCGGUAGGCCUAACACAUGCAAGUCGAACGGCAGCACAGUAAGAGCUUGCUCUUACGGGUGGCGAGUGGCGGACGGGUGAGGAAUACAUCGGAAUCUACUUUUUCGUGGGGGAUAACGUAGGGAAACUUACGCUAAUACCGCAUACGACCUACGGGUGAAAGCAGGGGAUCUUCGUACCUUGCGCGAUUGAAUGCGCCGAUGUCGGAUUAGCUAGUUGGCGGGGUAAAGGCCCACCAAGGCGACGAUCCGUAGCUGGUCUGAGAGGAUGAUCAGCCACACUGGAGCUGAGACACGGUCCAGACUCCUACGGGAGGCAGCAGUGGGGAAUAUUGGACAAUGGGCGCAAGCAUGAUCCAGCCAUACCGCGUAGGUGAAGAAGGCCUUCGGGUUGUAAAGACCUUUUGUUGGGAAAGAAAAGCAGCAGGUUAAUACCCCGCUGUUCUGACGGUACCCAAAGAAUAAGCACCGGCUAACUACGUG